UGGGACCAUAGCUCAGCUGGGAGAGCACCUGCCUUACAAGCAGGGGGUCACAGGUUCGAGCCCNCUAGGUUCUAU
rnacentral:tRNA from 1 species